UACGAAGGGUGCAAGCGUUACUCGGAAUUACUGGGCGUAAAGCGUACGUAGGUGGUGAGUUAAGUCUGAUGUGAAAUCCCCGGGCUCAACCUGGGAAUGGCAUUGGAUACUGGCUCGCUAGAGUGCGGUAGAGGGUGGUGGAAUUCCCGGUGUAGCAGUGAAAUGCGUAGAGAAUCGGGAGGAACAUCUGUGGCGAAGGCGGCCACCUGGACCAACACUGACACUGAGGCACGAAAGCGUGGGAGCAAACAGG
rnacentral:rRNA from 1 species